GAGAAGCAGCAGCAUCUCAGAGCAGCAGCUUGCUUCUCCUCCUCCUAUCCCAAGAAUAUAUGUGAUAAUAAUGACAAAACAUUUGUGCUGCUCUUAAAUAUACAAAUGAGCAGUAAGGCUGUCAGUUAAGAAGUAUCUUUCUAUUCUAGAAGAAGAAUUUGUAGUAAUGGAUGGAGGCAGUUGGAAACCAAACAAUCCAGCAGAUGAGGCAAGUAUUCCAGCAUCUCCAAAUGCCCAAUUCUUUCACUUCCUUUCUUUGGCUCUGUAAAUAACCUUUGCCAAGGCUUCAUUCUAGAGAGGUUAGGGAGAAAAAGAUUACAUAGCCUGGAGAAGUAUCUUCACCCUGGACCAAUUCAAAUAGGAUACUACCAAGAAAAAGAAAGAAAGAAAGAAAGAAAGAAAGAAAGAAAGAAAGAAAGAAAGAAAGAAAGAAAGAAAGAAAGAGAGGAAAACAAGACAACCUUCAUCCUUCAUUUGGGAAUCAUCAAAACCAAACACACAUACACACCCAGCCAAGUUUAAGAAAAUCAACUCAAACAAAAAUCGUGACACAAGGUAAAGAAUGAUGCAAAGUAAGGAACAUAAUUUCUUUCAUUGCUUCAGAAAACAGGAAGUGAAAAACCUCAGAUACUAACAUCACCAACACAGAGCCCCUCGUGUUAAAAAACAUCCCACCACCAAGAAUUAAUGUAAAAUGCAUGAUUCACCUGCUACUUAUAUUUGUCCUUGGAUACUUGUUCUUGGAAAAGGUCCCACAAUUACACCAAAUGAAGAGCAUACGAACACAGGAAACAACUUCUCAGCCUACAGGGCAGCCAGUUUACACUUCACGUAGGUGUCGAAGUCUAUAAUGCUUCUAAGCAGAAAGAAAGAAAGAAAGAAAGAAAGAAAGAAAGAAAGAAAGAAAGAAAGAAAGAAAGAGAGAGAAAUAACAUUGCAUACACUUUGCAGGGAAAACAUACAUUUUGUACAAGAGCAACUAUAACAUUUUAGCCACCGGCCCCUUCACUGGAAAAGCAGAGUACUCACUGGAAGACUGAAAAACAACUGUGCAGGUGUUUAGAAAAUAAACUGGAGUGUGGACGUUAAAAAUAAAAAAUGUUGGGCCCAAUCCAACAUCAACCAGGUAAUGUAUUCUGUUUAAACUAUGAAUUAUUGCUGAUGUUUUUACAUUUUGUGAAGGUGUGGAAGUAAACCUACAAAAAUAUGUGUUAGCAGAAGCUAGCUAUCAUCUCCUUAAGUAUGUGGCAGACCUUUACAACUACAGUAGAUGUAAAAUAUACAUGCCUUGUAUAAAAUGUCAGGGAGCUAAAUAAUCUCCUGUGCUCAAUUAAAAAGAAGAAAAACAAAUGUCAUGCAGCAUUGUAAAAUUGCUGCUUAUUUUUCAUCCUAGGGGGGCUUCUCCAAAGUCAUAAUUGUGGAAACAGAUGAAAGAGGA